GGGAGUGAAACUGCCUGAGGAACAGAGAGGAGAGGGGAGGAGAGGAGAGGAGAGGAGAAGAGAGCAGAGGAGAGAUCAGAUCUGUAGCUAGGUCACAUCUGGACAGGACCCAAGUCCAAGGUAAAUCGAGAACAAGUGAUGGAACUAAAGAAUGAAGGAGAAAUGGGUGGACAGGGCACAAAUUGGGGAAUGACAGCCUAUUCAGUGAGGAUAGGAAAUGCACAUAAAGGACAGAUGAAGAUGAUUUCUCUGUGUGUGAUUAGAAGGAUAGCAAUUACAAAGAUAAGAGUGAAAGGAGAGGGAGGAAAGGGGAAAAGGGAAUAAGUAAGAAGACAAAAUAAGCAAUGAGUGUCUAAGUACCGAUCUGAAUGCUUAGAAAAUCACCAGGCUGUUAGGCUGAGCCAAAAGAAGAGCCACAGCCGUACCCAAGAGGGGACCAUCGGAAAGACAGAAGCAGGCAAUUUAAGUAGCUAGCUACUGGGGUAAAAUGAAAAAAAAGAAAAAAUAGAAGAUGGAAAAGGUGAGAAGCAAAAGAGGGAAAACCCAAAGGAGACACUGGCCCAGAAACCUUUUUAACUUUCUGUAAGAAUCUUCAAGGCCCCAAACUAGGCCAAGAUUCUGACUGACAUUUCUGAGCUCACCAGCUGCCGUUUCCUUGAGAGAAUUCUGACAGGAAGGCAUAGAAAUGCGAACCAACACUGCCAGCUCUGGAAAAUAAAUAAAUAAGUAAAUAACUAUCCACAUCCUAAACACCUCAGUGGGGGCCGAAGCCUGCUGGGGAAGAAAGCCCAGCGAGGAGGAGGGACCCGCCUGCAACUUUUCCCCAGCUCUGACUCCAAAGGGCUUGAACCCACACCAAGAAAGUGCUGAAUCUACAGAGGGAAGCCUUGAGCAGGAGGGGAGGCUGCAGUCACCCAAGGCUCAUGCCAUCACCCCACGAAGAGUUUCAGAACAAGGGAGGAAGAUGAAGAGGCCUCCUUCCCUCACUUAAACCCCCAUUCCAGGAUGGCUCUUACAUCCCACACCUCUGACUCCUUGUUUUUAGGGCUUAGACAAAUGAUGCUUGAGACACACCAAGAUACCUGCACACUAGAGGCUGCAGUCACCUCAGAAGAAAGAUGCCCCCUGCUCUGGCUGGUCAAACGGAACCAAGUCCGUCUUCCUGAGAGGUUUGGUCCCCUUCAACCAGCUACAGCAGGGCUGGCAAUGCCCAGUCCUUGGAGAAACAGAAGAGAUUCAACUGCAACUGAAAUUACCUACUAAAACUUUCCUUGAGAAAACAAUUCUGGUUUUUUCACCAUAUUCUUAUGCUCCCAGGAAGGAAGAGAAGAGGAGUCCUGGAGUCAAAAGUGAGCAAGAUUUUAAUGCUCAACACACACUGUUCUGUGCCUUUGCACUCACAGCUGCAGCCACUUACAUGCUUUUGACAGACACACAGUCAAGAAAGAGUUUGAGGAUGGAGUUUGUGCCAACCCUAAGCCAGCCAGGGGAAGAGCAUGAGACAUAGAAGACAGGGCUCCUGCUCACUAGGGGCUAACAGUCUAAGGAAAGAAAUUAGACAUGUAUAUAUGGUGUGAUCCAAUUGAAUUGCAAGUUAUAGCAUGGCUAGUUCCAAGGCAUAAUUCUUACCUAUCCCACCAAAUAUGCCUAGCACAUUAUGUAUCAUCAAGUCUCUAUUGAUCUAUUCAGCCCAAGAUAUCUAUUCACUAAGCAAUCAUUUCUCAGUUCCCUGAUCUGUAGAAUAGGGAUAAUAGUACCUGUCACACCAGGCACAGUGGCUUAUGCCUAAAAUCUCAGCAUUUGGGGUGGCUAAGACAGGGGAUUGCUUGAGGCCAGGAGUUCCAGAUCAGCCUGGUCAACAUAGCAAGAUGCUGUUUCUACCAAAAAAAAAUUUUUUUUGUUUUAAUUAGCUGAAUGCGGUAGUGCACACCUAUAGUCCUAGCUACUUGGGAGGCUGAGGCAGGAAGAUCACUUAAGUCCAGGAGAUGGAGGCUGUAAUGAGCUAAGUUCUCAUAAUCGCUACCUUUUACUAAGGGAGAAUUCUGACCUGUCCUUCCAGUUUAUCUUUUAAGAUUUGUAUCUUUUAUGGUGUGUGUCUGGAACUUAGACAGUAAUAAGUAAAUAUUUGGGUUUAAAAUUCUAUAGACAUGUGUGUUCACAUGCUGUAUUCUGACACAAAUGGGGUAGCAUAAGUGCCUAGAGCCCACCACAGUGACCUCAGAGGAGAACACAGAGCUUACUAGCACAAAUCUUUGCAUUCAGGAAGACCUGGGGUUGAAUGCUGCCCCUCUAAUUUAUUAGCUGUGAUAUAUCCUCUCCGCAGCUCAAUUAACAUUGCACAAGCCUUAGUUUACUCAUCUGUAAAAUGGGGACAAUGAUACCAACCUCAGUUACCGUAAGGCUUAAAACAGACAGUGUUAAUAAAGAGCCAAAUAUAAGCCCUUAAGAAAUAGUAGCUGUUGUUUUACUGCUGUAAAUGGCAACAGCACAAGGACAAUGCUGUGUCCACAGGCACUUGUAUGUAGAAGGAAAGAGCCAAAUUAAAAAAAAAAUAGGAGAAGAACUCAAAAAAUACAUAAAGGCUCAUUGCUCACUGUAGGGUUUUGUUUUUUGUUGUUGUUGUUUUGUUUUUGUUUUUGUUUAUUUUUUGAGACAGGGUCUCACUCUGUUGCCCAGAUAGGAGUGCAGUGGCACGAUUUCAGCUCACUGCAACCUCCGCCUCCCAGGCUCAAGCGAUUCUCCUGCCUCAGCCUCCCAAGCAGCUGAGAUUACAGGCACGCACCACUACCACCCGACUAAGUUUUAUAUUUUUAGUAGAGACAGGGUUUCACCAUGUUGGCCAGGCUGGUCUUGAACUCCUGACCUCAAGUGAUCCGCCCGCCUUGGCCUCCCAAAGUGCUGGGAUUACAAAUGUGAGCCACCGUGCCCAGCCUAUAGGGUAUUUUUAUAUUCCAACUAUUAAUUCUACUAGCAUGUAGCAUACAUGCAUUCACCCUAGUACAUAUGACUAGCAUAUAAUAUGCUUUACUUUUAAAAAAUGCUUUAUACAUGAGACUGAUCUUACCAUCUUCAAUAUCCUGUCUGGAAAGCCUUCAUUUGUGAGUGCUGUUGAGAUCACAUGUCCUCCCAAGUAGGACAUGGAGUGUGAAGGCCAUUGAGUGGGUGUUCCAAAGGGCAGCACAGAAUGGAGUUUAGUUGAAGGUGCUGGGGACACACUACCUGGGCUCAAGUCCCAGCUCCCCACUCUCCAGCUGUGCCACUUGAGCAAGUUGCUUGACCUCUCCAGGCCUGGGUUUCCUCAUCUGUAAAGUAGGAAUAUUGAUAAUAAUAUCUACUUCAUAGAGUUUCAUGAGAAUACAUGUAAAGGCCUGAAACCAGUAUUGGGUACAUAAUAAUACAUUCUUAAGAGUCUUUAUUUCUGACAAUGUACCUGAAAUGUUCCUGAAAUUAAGUUGGUGUUCAAUAAAAACAUGUUCACUGAAAGAUCAGCUUCUUUGUUUAUUUUAAGCACAAACUAUGGGAUCAUGUAAUUUUUGGUUCAACUAUUUCUACUUAUCUCUUUCAAUGCAGCACACUGGUUCAAAGCAGUAGUAAGGUGUGGGGGAAGGAUGGCAACAAGCUUCUCUCUGCUUCCCAGGUCUGUGAUGAAAUGGAACUUCCCUGCGAACUAGGGGUAUGCCUCUGGGAGUAGAAGCAGGGUGAUCU
rnacentral:lncRNA from 10 species